AGCGUCUCUCACAUGAGGGUGACCCCAUCUGUGGAGGAAACAGUGUGCCAUUUUCUUGUCCUGGAGUGGGUAUACAUUUGUUUGGUGGACUCUACUUUUGGUGCAAGACUUGGUCGGUUUCGUGCUUCCUGUAGAGUCCAGACUGACCCUGCUUCCUCAAGACCGUACCAGUAAGCUCUCCAAUGUGCCAUUUGUUUUCACUUUCAGUUCCUCCCCUAAAACUCUGCUCCCGUUACCGGAGAAGCACAGGGCAUCUUCCCUUGAGAUGCACCCUCUCAUUCCUUCUUCAGCCAGCGCUCUCCCUCCGGGAACCAGGACCUGGGGACCGUCCAAUUGAAAAUGAGCACCCUGGACAAGGCUGAGGAGAGGAUCUCCAGUUUGACUAGGCCUGGCCCCGGAAAUGUGGGCGCUCCUGGGCGUGGACGCCGUGGCCUUCCUGAAGCUGCAGGAGGAGGAACACAGAGAGCGGGCGGAGGAGCAAGGGCUGCAACCCCGGACGCGCAGCGAGGCCGCCGGCCGAGGACCUUCGCCACCUGCCACUGUACAGCUCCUGGACGCCGCGGGACAUGGCAGCAGCGGGCUUUUACUGCACCGGGUGAAGUCCAAGUCCGGGUUCAGUGCUUCUGCUGCAGCUUGAUCCUCUCCGGCUGCGGCUGCGGGAAGGUCCCCGUGGAGCAUCGCAGGGAGUUCCGCCUGGGCUGCCUGUGCCUGCUGGGCCGGGACGUGGGCAACAUGGGCAAGUAAGACGUGCGCGGGUGAAGACCCCAGGCGAGGAGCCGAGCGGUGGCCGAGCAGGUACCGCGAGCAGGAGGCCAGGCUCGCGUCCUUGAGGACUGGCCCUUCUGCGUCCACGCAGUGUCCCCGCGGGGCCUCGCAGCUUCCGGCUUCGUCUUUAUAAGUAAACUGAAUUCAUCUCCUACAGGGCUUCUCCCCAAGUUUUAACUUAAGGUUCCAUGCUUUGGUUGCUGUUGAGCUGCUUUGUGAAUCCUUCAUUGCUUGUUUAAUGUGUUGUAUUAGACAAAAAUCCAUCUUGUUAAAAUUCUGCUUCAAGCAGAGUGUGGUGGUACAGGCCUGUAAUCCGGCACUUGCAAGGCUGAAACAGGAGGAUUGCCCAGAGUUUUAAGCCAGUCUGGGCUACACAGUGAGUUAAAAGCCAGCCUGAACUACAUAGCGUGACCCUGACUCAAUAAAUAAAUUAAAACAAGCAACCUCCCCCCCCCAUUCCACUUCAGUAAUUUUUCUUGAUGUUUUGUGCACCUUGUGUUAAUUCGUCAAAGCUAUAUAAAACCAGAAGACGAUUUUUCCAUAUAUAAGGGCCUUAGGUGACACAGACUGUGUUCUUUAGGCCCUGAUGCUGUUCAAUCCCAGUCUCCUCACGAAUGAGGAGCUCUUCACUGUUCUCACACAAGCUUUCUUUGAUUUUUAAAAUUCUUACAGUUUUUGAAGUUUUUUUAAAUCAAUUUCUUUCUCUCUGUCUCUCUCUCUCUCUCUCUCUCUCUCUCUCUCUCUCUCUCUCUCUCUCUCGGUACAGGGGAUCGAACACAAUGUCACACUUGCCAGGCAGGUGCAUGUGCCGCUGAGCUCCGUCCCGGCGCCUGUGUGUUUAUGUCUUGGCCUCACCAUGGAUGGUGACAGGAGACCGAGGCUUCCUAAGAGCAACUAUGGCUUACUGAGCGGCUGCUUCAUGCGAGGCGCGGAUUAACUCCAAUUCUUUGUCAACCCAUUUGCCCCUUUUUUUCCCAAGUGACAGUUGUUUUCACCAAGACUCAGAGACCUUUGAGUUUUUGUUUUCACCAAGAAUCAAAAAAAGGGUCUGCAUUUUAUAGAAUCAGCGUGGAGAAACCAACAGUGAGGGUUAACUGUGGAGCUCAGUGGACUGGAUGUGCACUGGCCGGGGCUCGCGGGGCGCAGCAGGGCUGACCAGGUGGCCGAGCGCUCCUGGAGGAACAGCACGUGGGGCAGCUGGGCCUGAGGAGAGUGUCACCUCCGGGAGCCCCUCAGGGCCACUGCUGGCCCCUGAGCCGCUGUCCUGUGUCCACAGGUCACAGGGACACCGUGCAGUGCUUCUCCUGUGGCGGAUGCUUAGGAAACUGGGAAGAAGGAGACGACCCCUGGCAGGAACAUGCCAGGUGGUUUCCCAAUUGUCCAUCUCUCCAAAAUAUGAAGUCCUCUGCAGAAGUGAUUCGCGACCUCAAGGGCUGUGGUGAACUCCUGAGAUACUGGUAUGUGACUGGGUGAUUGAAAACUGCUUUGAACAGGAAUCACUCGGUGUAAGUAAGUAAACACAUAAAUUCUCCAGAUAUCUACCAAGCACCUUCUGUGUACAAAGUGCAGCUGGCGUUACCAUGAAGUAUGGGGAAGAUGUGAUUCCUGGCUUCCUAAAUGAGUGCUUGGGAAUUUGGCAUUGAGGCCUGAACAUUUAGAAUUGAACAGCAUCAGGCUACAUGGAUCCCAUCUUUGAUGUUUAUUUAGAGGCCAGUAAAGCUAAACUUCCUCUUUGGCCUUUUUCAGGGCUGGGAAGAUGUAUCUUUAAUAAAUUAUGAAUGAUUUAGGGAUGAGAGUGUGCAGUAUAUGUACUAUUGUUGUCCCCUGAUUGAUGUUUUGAAAUUUUGUUGUAGUUUUCCUCCUCUUUUCUUUCCUCUUCCUCCUCCUUCUUCUUCCUCUUCUCUUUCUUUUUAUUCUCAAGCAAAAUGGAUUUAAAAAAAUUAAAAAAUAGUAAAAGGAAAUGAUCAGAUACUAGACUGACCCCUUUAAACUGAGAAAUCCUAACAGUUCUCUGAGAUUUCAGCCACUAUCAAUUUGAUAAACAUAUGCACGCCACCCUAUUUUAAGGCUGUGUGGUAGAUAUGUUUGUCAUCCAAAACAAGAGAACAAACACCAUUCUCUUCACUUGGUGCAUCUUUUAUAUUUGUGAAUUUUAGAAAUCCAUUGGAGUUAGGUAUGGCAGCAGACAUGUAAUUUCAGCUAUUUAGGAGCUGAGUUGAGAGGAUCAAGGGUUUGACAACACACUGGGCAAUUGAGCAAGGCCCUGUUUCAAAGUGAGAGAAAAGGAUAGGGCUGUAUGCUGCCAAUAAUACAUCCUUUAAGAUUCCAAGCACCAACAAAAUGAAGAAGGUAGAAGGAAAAGAAAACUGAAAAUACCUUUUGAAGUAUUAAUGAUUCAAAAUGGCAUGAUUUUGUUUCUUGCAAAGAAAGAUGCAACGUAGUAUAGAAAGUUACUACUAUUAUCCAUGUACAAACACAACUGUUAUUUUAUUUAAUUGGUACAUGUUUUCAGUUUAUGCAGGUUACUAUCAUCUUAGGGAGUGUUUACUUUUACAUACUACAUCACAUAUAUAUAGAGAGAGGGGGGAGGAGAGAGAGACAGAGACACAGAGAGACACAGAGAGAUACAGACAGAGAGACAGAGAUGGGGUGGGGAGAUACAGAUACAGGAGGAAUUGUUUUUAAUCAUCACAAAGUUUUUCACUGCUCCAUUAUUUCAAAAUCUGGAAUUUCACAUCUAACAAUUACAAUAAAUCCUCUUACAUUUUAAAUAUUAAGCCAUUUUGAAAUGUUUAUAAGUAUGGAAUUUUCCAUGUGAGACAAAGUAUGCAUGACCCCAAUUCUCCAAUCUAAAAAUCAACGAAUAGCUUUCCCAAGUCAGUGCAAGAUUAGCACCAAAGCCAAGAAAUUCUUGGUCUGUGACCAAGGAUUUAGACCUGCCUAAGAGAACCAAAGCAAAACUGGACUAAGAGGUCCACAAAAGAUUACUAACGACACUCAGAGAUCAAUAUCACCCUAGUUAGGUGGAAAAAAAUCUUUUUGUUAUACCUUGCUGGGUUUUCAUAAAGUUGUAAGCCUCAAUGUGUUAGUCACUGUUCUCCUGUUGCUGGUUAAAAAAAAAAAAAAGCUGACACUCAAAAUUAAGGAAGCAAAGAUUUAUUUACCUCACAGUUUGUAGAAGUUUCAAUCCAUAAUCAGCUAGCUCCAAGGCUGGGUAGAAUGGCCCAGAGGCAACACUUCAUGGCAGCAGAAACAGCAAAAGCAACAACAGAAAUGAAAGAACACCUAGAGAAGGGUCUUUCUAUCCCUUAUAUUGUAUAUAGGCCACUCCCACUUGGGUAUGGCACUUGCUGCUUCUUAUGAUGUCCUCAGGUCAUCUUUUCUAUUGUCCUAUUUCUUCUCAGCAGUAGAGAUCUCCUCAGCUCUACCUUUGCAGUCCACAAAUUUACUGAUGCUUCCUUUGUGGCCAAACUCACAACACUUUAAAUCAUCAUGCUGGGCUCUUUGCUUUUGAUUCACAACGUAAAUCUGGCUUAAAGCCCCUAAUAAUAGUCAUGCCAUCACCUCAACAUUUGACUUCCUUGAAAUUUCUUCUGCUAGAUUAAUUGGUAUGCCUCCCUUAAUCUUAAUCUCAGGUAAAAUCUUUGGACAUGAGCAAAAUGCAGACAAACUUUCUGCCAAAUCAUAAUAUAGUGUGGACUCCAGCACCCAAUGCAGUCCUUCGAAGCAGAAACAUCUGAAGCCUGAUCCUUACUAGUUUUCUGGUCUUCUGAACUUCGACCAGACUCUUCCAUAAAGAAUAGCCUGACGCAUUCCAGCUCUGCUCUUUCAGGCAAGAUCUUUGAACCUUUCCAUACUCUCCCCAAAAGCCAUUCCGAAAGGGUGUUGAACCACAUGGUCAGUAACAGUCACAACAACAGCCCCACAUCUUUGAUACCAAAUUCUGUCUUGCUUUUCUCUCAUUGCUGAGACAAAAAAUGCCCAAUGCAAAACAUAAGGAAGGCAAAAUUUAUUUAGUUUAUGGAGGCUUCAGUCCAUAGUAAGCUGGCUCCCAGGCAGGUUGGCAUAGCACAAAGGCAUCCUUUCAUGGCAGCAGAAAACAGCAAAAGCAACAAGAGCAAAAGGGGAGGAAUACCUAGAGAAGACUCUUUCUGUCUAUUAUAUUGUAUGUAAGCCGAUCUGCUGAGUAUACAAUUUAUAAUCCUAACAUUGGACCAUGAAUCAUUCACAAAGUCUAAUAGCCUGCCCCCAUAACCAUAUGGGGCUCUGGGGGGACAUCCAGACACAAACCAUAACAGUAAACAUAAAGUCCUCCUGACCCUGCUAGGUCACAAAAUUUAAAAAUGUAAAGAAAACAAGUUUUUAAGUGAUAUGCUAUAUUAAAAUAUUUACAGAUGAAAUCCUCUGUCAUCUGUGACAAUCACCAUUACUUCCCAGAUUAACACAGUACAUUCUGCAUAAUAUCUAGUAGCUGGUAGGAGCGGGUCUCACUUUGUCUUACUGACAAAAAAACCCCCUGAGACUCAUAGGCUAUACAUAACUUAUUGAAGAUUCCCUAGUUAGUCAAGGGCAGUAAAGGACCUUAAAUGUAGCUCUUCUCCUUCCACACUGCCACGCCCUCUGUCUCCCCCAAGGUUAGUUACCAUAACCUCAGAUGUGCGGUGCUCCCUCUCUCUCCUUGCCUCUCUUCAGAGCACAUCUUCACUGCCAUAUUUACCAUGCUUUCCAGGACGCUCCUCUUAAUCUUAACCACCUUACAGUGCUUAUCAUUCCUAUCUUUGAUCUAGGAUUUUUCAGCUUUUCAAUCAAGACAUUCCUAAUAAAAAGUAAAAAGUUAAACUGCGGUAUUGCUUAGCAGCACAGUACCUGCCUGGCAAGCUCAAGGUCCUGAGUUAAAUUUCUGGUACCAAAAAAAAGGAAAAUUGGAAGAGGAAUUCUGAAGUAGUACAUGUUAUGAAAUUUUCUACUUCUGGGGAAUGUUAACAAUCACUGUCAUCUAAGUCUAUCUGGCUCUGAAUGAAGACACUGAUUAUCUAUAUUGUUGGGUUUCUGCAUUUGAGACAGGAAAUAGAAAGAUUUGGAUUACAAGGGAUCUGUUCUUCCAAAUAGCUCUAUUUUUAAAAUUACACAAAUCUGCUGGGCUCCCAUGUUCAAACAGAGUUCAGUGAGCAAAACAUAUGUUUACUUUGAAAAUCAGAUUUAAACAGCACUAUUUAAGCAACUAAUAGAUGAAUAUUUAAAUGCUGAAUUUAUGAGGAUUACUGUGAAUCUUUACAGAAGUAUGACCUUUAAAAAAAUGUAAGGGGCUGAGGAUAUAGCUCAGAGGCAUAGCACCUGCCUUGCAAGCGUGAGGGUGUGAAUGCAAUUCCCAGAACCAAAAAAAGAAAAAAGAAAGAAAGAAAGAAAGCAAAAAAGAAAGAAAAAAUGUAUAUAUUCACUUUAUUGUAAGUUGAAAAAUUCAGGAAAAAAAGAUAACAUCUAAUUAAUCACUUUCUUUCCCUACCAGGAUAAAGAUGAUUUAUGGGAUGUUAGAAAAAGGUUACUAGCAAUUAUCAGCAGUGAAACUAUGGGGACCUACCUUAGUGAAAUAAAAUUGGUCUUUAGCAAUCUCCUGAGCAGGAUGUCAACUUUGAAAGAGGCUGUCUUUGCAGAAAUCAUUGUAAACUGGAACAUAAUUUAACUGUUAGAUAUCAAGAGGUAGCAUUUCUUUUCCUUAAUUUGGUGGACAUGAGAUUAUGAUUGAUGGAAAAGAAACAAUCUAAAAGAGUGAAGAUGGUGAUGAGUAUGUGUAACUCAAGAAUAUAUGUUAACACCAAAAUACUAAUCAUAACAAGAAAACAUAGAUUCUCAUCUUUUCUUCCACCUAGGAAUCAUGGAAGGUUGCAUCCCGAGUCUAAACUUCUUUACUGAAAAGUGAGAUAUUAGUUUCAAUGAUAUCUGAGGUCCAUGUAAGUUCUAAAACUGCUCUGAUACCUAUUUAAAUAAAAGUUACCUCUGUUGUACAUUUAAAACAUUCUUAAACACACAUUGGUUGUGGCUUUAGAAAUAUAGACUAUCAUAGAUAAGUAAAAUACUGAGAGUACAGCUGAAUAAUACAAGAUGUGCUUAGCAUUAUACAAGGCCCUGGGUUUCAAUUCCAGUACCCAAACAGAACAACAAACCAAAAAGCAAAACAAUACACAGACACUUGAAACAAACAAACAAACAAGCCUAACCCUACCUCACAGAAAUAACUGCUAACCUCCAGAGAAGAAAUACAUAUAAUGCUUUGUAAUCUGCUUUCUUUUAGCAUAUUUUAAAUUUCUUGCUAUAGCACUAAAUGUUUUUCUAAAACACUAAUUUUUCAGUGGGCAAGGCAAGAAGGCAGGCAUCGUAGAACCACUCUGGGCUGUUCCAGAAAAACACUCUGCUCUUUCUAAUAUCCCUCUGCAAGCUGAGGUUCUCCCAGUCAAGAAUCACCAUGAACAAAACUGGUUGGCAGUAACCCUAAUUUCCCUUAAGAGCAUUAAGACAAAAGCAAACCAAACAGCACUAUCCUUGCAAAAGCACUUUUAAAUGGUUACAAAGUUUGAAUGCUCCAUUACUUAUUAACCAGUUUCCUUCACUGCAUAUUAGGCUAUUUUCACUAUAUAAAUAUUCUAUUGAACAUCUGUGUAGUUCUAUGUAUGUAUGUAUCGGUAAGGCAACCACUGGCCUUUCCUCCAUGGUAACUGGUAAUGAGGGAGCUUGAAGUAACAACAUUUCUCUUUCUGUUUCAAUUAAAUGGGAAUUUGACACAAACAGAAAGAAAGAUGAGCCUUGCUUAAGAAAUUUGCUUCCUCCCCAGCAUCUUUGAUCUAGUUAUCAUAAAAACAUAUACUCCUCAAUGUAAAAUGACUGAAGGUCAAGGUCAUUUUACACAAAAUUUAGGGCUCUUCUAAUGGUUUCUUUUGUAAAAUAAAACAGAAAGGACCUUAUAAUCUGUAAAUACAAAAUAAAGUUAACUUUUUAGUAACAUAAUAUUUAAAAUGCUAAAAACUUCAUAGGAAAAACCGGCAGAGCAAGAAACUUCUACUAAAAGUAAACACGUGAGUGAAUCAUAUUAAAAAUAGAUGCUGUCACAAACUUUUCAGAUUCUUCAUCCUUGUAGGUACACUGCCAGCUUUGCCAAAAUAAAAGAUGACAUUCUAUACGCAAAAUACAAAAGGAUUAAAUGAUUCUAAGAAUUUUGGGGGGAGUAUCUCCCUGAUAUGGAGAAAACAGGUCAGGAAUGCACUCCACCUACUAUGGUGAUGCUGAAAAAAACCCAGAGGAAAAGUCAAAGUUCAGAGAAGGUCACUGUUCCUGGACUCAGAGCUCCUCCUCAGGCCCACUAAGGCUUUCUGUGUACACAGAAAACAGAGGCAGAAAAACCACAACAACCCACAAGAGCCCAGUAGAAGGAAGCUGCUUAGUUUGUCUGGCCAGGUUGACAAGAAUAACUCUUCUCUGAAAGAUGACCAGUGAAGAGUGAACAUUUUAUAUUCAAAGAUGUUAUAAAUCUUAAUUAAUAAAACAGUACAGCAUUAGCAUGAGAAGAGGCAAAUGAAGAGAAGAGAAUACAGAAAUAUACCAAUACACUUGAGAAUUUUAAAAGGCAUUUUAGUAUUUAAUAUUUAUGUUUUCUCACACUUUAACAUUUCUGCAACCCGGGCGCACUGUACAAAUAGAUGGGAUUUCAGACAUGACCAGGGUAUUUGACUUGAAUCCAUAUAAUGGGAAGAUGAAAAAGUCCUAGAGAUAAAUGGUGGUAAAGACUGUACUACAAUGUAAAUGUACUUAAUGCCACCAGAUUUUGUGUUUAAAAAGGUUUCAAACAGUUUUAAGUGGGUACAUUUUACAUUAUGUACAUUUUACCACAAUUUAAAAAUCCAAGUUUGCGAAAGAAAAAUUGGGACUCUCUCUAGCAUUAUAAAAUAAAGCCAGUUUAUUCACAUAAGUAAAUAAGCAAGACAUAUGAUACAUGCUAAAAGUGGCACCUUAAUUGAACAAGCAAUGAGUUAUUGGUAAUUAUUCAGUCAACAAUGUAGCACAAUAACGAAAGAUAAACUCGAGACUUUGAUAGGUAAAUGACUGGAACUAGAGACCACACUCAUAAGCAAAAUAAAUCAGACCUGCAUGUGAAAACAUCGUAUUGUCUCCCUAGUGAAAGAAGCUGAAAGAGUGAAUAAGAUCCACAAUGCACAAUAGAUAUUGUGAAAGGGAAAGAAGCUGCUCUAAAGAAAAAAAAAAAAACUGGGAUGGGGGAAAGGAGAAAAAAGGAAGUGUGAAAUAUAUAUACGUGUGAGAUAUGAGAUAGCUGAGAUGAUUGUACUAUUGAUACUAAUAGUUCAUGCAAAGGAACAGAUAGUGCUUAUAUUGUUUGAUCAGUUUUGCAUGCCUGUAUCUGCAAUCUGAGCAACUAUUUUGGAAAUAACAAUAUGCAGCAUAAUAACUAUUGUUAAUUUCCUACCAUCUUGUUUUGAAAUCCUGUAUCGUUUUUGUUGUUGUUGCUUUAUUACUCCCUUUAAAGGAAAAUGUAGCACAACUAGAAAGAGACCUGAAAAAAAAUGUUGAGUGCAAAUAUUGCAAACCAAGGUGAACUCCAGAUAGAUCAACAAUUUCAAUUUAAAAAAUAGGGAAAUUAAUAGGUGAUAACAUGCUAAAACACUUUUAAAAUCUUGGUAUGGGAAAAGCUCUUCCAACUAUGACUCAAAAUUUAGAAGAGAAAAGACGAGGUUAACCAUAAGAACAUCAAGAAGAAAUGCAGAAAGUGUUGCUGGGACAGAGAGCAGAGCACUGGGGAGAACAAAAGGAAAAAGCAAUCCAUGGUGGCUCCGAGAAGACACCAGAGGCCAGCAGAGCCAAAAUAAGGCGAGGGCCAGGUUAGGGAGAUGGGAAGAGCCUUCCCAGCUCCGCUCCGGGGUAAAGGUGCUAUCCUCUAGGGGUUCUGACUUUGGAAAAUCAGAAGUCAGACAGUCUUAGUCCCCAUUGUUGGGGAAGAAAAAAAAUCUUGAGCUAAGAAUCCAAGAGACUACUAAGCAAAGUUUGAUCUCAUUAUGAAUCUGUGGGCUUCCUGGUAUCCACACGCCAUCUACUUGGACCUGGGUUCCCUCCCACCCCACUCUGGCCAUUUAAGCAGAAGCAAAAUCUCAAAGAGCUGUGUGGCUAGGCAAAAAUUUUGGUGUUUGAUUCAUUGUUUCCUAAUGACUUACUAAGAUCAGAAAUUUUAUAUUAAAGUGUGAGUAAAAUGAAGGAAGAAUUUGUUUAAAAUAGGAUUUCUCCAUCUUCAUGGUACUGAAAUUUUGAGCCUGGUAAUUUUUAUUUGUGCAGAUCUGUCCUGAGUACUGCAUGCUGUCUGGAACCAAACUUAACUUCUAUUUACUAGAUGCCAGGAAUUCAUCCACACACAUUGAGACAAACAAAAUUGUUUCCCCAAAUUGUAGAACCCCUGAAUGACAAAAUUGUCCCAAAUUGUGGACCAUUGUUUAAAGAAAACUAGCAAUAUGUAUUCAUCCAAAUAGAAGUAGUUUGCCUCAAAGGAUUCACUUUAGCAACUGAAUACUUAUUCAGUAAUGCUGUUGUUCAAAACAAAUUUGCAGCCUUUUAUUUUAUAAAUUACUUUCAGAGGUUUUUUUUAGAAUUUCAUUUAAAUGACUUUAUGGGAGGAAAACCUUUGUCAAUUGUUUACAAAAGGUAAGUUCAUGUAAACUAGUUAAACCUCUUUGGAAGCUAAAAAUUUCAUUUCACACAGUUAUUCCUGUUAGGCAUCUUUCUAAACAAGUUAAAGAUAUUUUAUUACAGAUAUCCAUGCAUAUCAGUUCAUAAUAGAUAUUUCCAACAUCAUGAAACCUACUCUGUCUCUGCUACAUUAAUUUGUAUCAUAUUAUAUUUUACAAAUAUUUUUUAACCACUGGUGUAAGGUCUGAAGAAGUAUGUCCUAAGUUGUUAAUGAUUUGUAUGUGGAAAGCACUUGAAGAUAACAGUCAAAACUGGUGUAAGGUAAGAUAAAUGAGGGGAGAAAGAAGAAAUCUGGAGAAGAGUGGCAGUGCCUCCCAAGCAAAAUUCAGACCUACAACACCUUACACGGGUUUUGGGAAGUGACUCCCACUUGGCCUGACUGUAGCUUCAUCCAACCAUCAUGACGACAUCUAGUGGGGGCGGAGGUUGAUGAGUGCUAUACAUGACCCCACAAAGGCUGAAACAGAGAUUUCACGUUCAGGUGCGGGUACAUGACACAGAAAUGGUGCACCUUGGUGACUAGGGUAAUAGUGAGAGCCCUGACAGAAAUAAUCUUUUGCAUGGACUUGGGGAGAGAGCAGGCCAAGUCCAAAGGAAUAGCCUAAUGUGCAGUGAGAUGUUAUACUAAAACUGAUGGAUGUGAGGAGCACUAAAUCUAAAGCCAGAGAAAUAAAGGUGAGUGAGGAAGCAAAAUCCCCUAAAAUCUAUGUGUAAAAAAAAAAAAAAAAGAGUGAGGCUAGGGAUGGUGCUCAAGCAAAGCGUGUGUUUAGUAUACACACAUCCUUGUUCUGGAUCACCAGAGCUUCACCGACUGGAAAGGCACACAGAAGGAAAAAGGGACCAAAGGCCAAGAGCCUGGUCUAUGAUGCUUGAAACAGCGCAGCACUUCAGGAAAACAAGGACCAAGAAAAUAACUCGGGGUGAGAGAGCUUAGCACGGAAAACAACAGCUUCUGCCCAAGAGCCAGAGCCCAGAGCAGAAACCCCUACUGGAAUCUAGGUGUGGGUCCUCUGUGCCUCAGUUUCCUCAUCGGCAAAAUGACAAUAUCAUCUAUCUCACAGGAUUGUGGAAGAUUGCCAUCAUUAACACAAACAUUUUAGAUUAGUGCCUACCCAGCACACAAGCACUUGACAAAUGUCUGCCAUGAAAGAGCGCUGGAUUUUACUUCUCAGUAACUUUGGGGAGAUCAGGUUUCUUUGGAGUAGCAACAAGAAUUAAGGCAAUCAAUGAGAGAUGUAAUCAAAGGCUUCCUUCUGCCUCUGGGACUAGACGCUGCUCUGCAAACCUAAGCCACUGUGCUCCAGUCCAAGAGCAGCACCCCAAGUUCACCCUGACCGCGAGAACCAAAAGCACACGGGGCAGGAGGCUGGCAAAAAGGGGCUCUGCUCAUGGUGCACCGAGAUGCUGGGGAGGCCCUUACUGAGCCCUGCCGCGACCUCAGCAGUCAAGGCCUCCCUUUCCUACACCACCAGGCGGCACCUCCGCCCUUCAAGCCUGGGCCCCAUGCCUCGAUCCAUCCACAGUGCUUGGCUUGGAUCUCUGGUGUAGCAGGGACGCAGCAGGGCAGGGUGUGGGCCCCGAACUUCCUCAGAGGGGCUGGUCCUGAUGGACCCCGCAGGUGGUUCCUGAGCUGGAGCCCUAGGCUUACCUUCCUGCCCCCUCUGAAGAAGAAAUGAAGGAGGAGGGAGCCUAGGGCACGUUUUGGAGAUAGGAGUUGCAGUGGUACCAUGGCUAGGAAAAGGCCCCAGCAAGAGGAGCCAUUUGAGUGGCGAUUUUAAAGAGAUGAGGUGGGGAGCCCUUGUCUCUCCAGGUAAUCACUGCCGACAUGGCCCAGGAGUCAGUAGAAACCAGCCUGGCUAACAUGUUACAAUUCAUAAAAUAGCAGAAAGGUAAGAGUGACUGGAUGGAGUGAGUAGGGAUAUUGUAAGAGUGAAGGAGGCCAAAAUCUUAAGAAGCAGUUUAAAACUGACACCAUCUGGCUGACAUCUGAAAGUAAGAUUCAGGCAACACUUUUUGAGCAGAGUAUGGGGUGAUGAGAGGAAGAGCUGGAGCACGAAAAUCCUAGGACACUGUUUCACAAUCCAGAUAAGAGAUAAAGGUGGCUUGGACAGGUUAGUAGGGAAGGUGUGACUUGCCACUUAAUAAGAGGAAGACUGUGAGGGGAAAAGUUGGGACAGGAGUAGCAGGAAUGGUUUGGGAAACUCUGGAUUUGAGAUUCCUAUUAGAAAUCCAAGGCGGGUCGGCAGUUUGUUCUUUCAUCAUCUGGAAUUAAAGAAAGAGACCUGAGUGUACACAUCAUAUUUAAAAGAUGUGAGCGUCUAAGGGCACCAAGAGUGAGAAAAGAGACGAGGUCUGAAAAUUGGUCCUGGGAGACUUUGGGUCAUAAAUUGUCAGGGGAGUGAGGAACAGUCAGUCAGGGAAGGAUGUGUUUUGGAAGGGAGGUGUGCUGGGUAGGUAUUGACACGAUAAUGCUUUAUAUCUUCACUUUGUAUCACACUAGCUUAUGGUCACGUAUUUGUUUUCAUGUGCAUAGGUGUGUAAGUUGGUUGCAUUGAGCUGUCCUAAGCUAUGCUCUGAGUAGCUCUGCUGUGUGUUGUAGGUUGGGGUUGGAUCUUCAAUGUGUUUUUCCUGGAGCUCGGAUAGUUUAGAGAACAUUUUUUUUUUUUAAUCACUGAGAUGCAAAAGUCAAUUCAAAACCCACUGAAGGCUUCACAUCUGGUUGGCAAAUAGUUCAUGGGCUCAUGUAUGUCACAUAGCCAUAUGCAAAGUACUAUGGAGACAUUCAUUCCACACUGAGGAAAAUGAAUAUUUACUGUACAGACUCAACACAGCAAAAGGAAAAAAAUUUAAAAGGUAUAGGAGGUGAUUACUAGUUCAAAAGCUGAGAAUUAGAAAGUCGCCACUGAUUUAACAAGGUGGAACUCCUAAGUAGCUCCUCAGCUUUGGUUUGCACACUUUUGGAGAAAUGAAAAGGAUGGAAGAGAAAUUAAAGAACAAUUUCAUAGACAGAUGUUUCAAGAACUUUUUUUUUUCUGGUUCCAGGAAUCGAAGUUAGGACCCUGUGCUUGCCGGGCAGGUGCUCUGCCAGUGAACUAUAUCCCUGGCCUUUUUUCAACAACUUUUGUGAUGGGCUGGGGAUACAGCUCAGCAGUGUAACUACCUGCCUGGCAAGUGCAAGGUCCUGAAUUUGAUUUCCAGUACUCAGAAAAGAGUAGUUUAAAAAAGAACUUUUUGUAGUAUAAAGGAGCAAAUAAAUGAAGCAAUGACAAAAAGAGCAAAUAAAGUUGUUUUAGUCAGGAUUGUGAGCAGAACAAUUAGAAUCAGAACAUGGAAUUUAUAAUAUUAUUAGAUGAUGGUCACCCAGAGUUAACCCAAGAAAAUGUAGGAAAUAUAUCCACAACACUAAAGACACAGAAUAUUUAGCCAAGGGCCUAAAUUUCACAGCAAUGUCCCACAUGAGUCCAGAUGAAGACCCAGAGCUCAUGACAAUGCCUAUUAGUCCAACUGGAGGUCUAGAGCCUACAAGAAGGACUCACAUCAGUCUCUUUUACGGAUCCAUGCUGAGAAGGCCCAAAGGUCAGUCGUCGAAGCCAGUAAGUCCAUGACAAAGGGUGAAGGAACUGUGCAGGUAGGUUGAGGUUCUGUGUUGUAACUGAGAAGUCACGCUUAUAAUAAAGACCAGGGCUGUCCUAAAAAGCACCACAGCCAUCCUCAGCAACAUGGAGGCCCCCAGCUCCUCUAAUGACAAGCACAGUCGAGUGCAUGCCAGGAAGCCAGUGUGAUGAGUUUCUCCUGGAGAUUAAAUGGCACAUGUCCUUCCCUCCGGAAGCAGGAAGCGGUGCUCCAUGUAAGGUCCAGAGCUCCUCCAAAUUGAACCACAGCCACUCUCACCAGCAAGGUCCCAAGCUUCUCCUAUGACAGUGGUCGAACUCAGACUGGGGAAGCUGAUGAGCUCCUCCAGGAGAACCAAAGGCUCAAACAGCAACAAGAAGAACCCACAAGGCCUCCAUGCCUCCACGCCUCCCGUCUCCUUCUCCACAUCUCUAUUUAUGCUGGCAACCUUCCUUAGAUGAAACAUCUACAUUCAACACCAUGGUGAUUUAAUUCUGCUGGCAUUAAGUUAACCACCAAUUUUUAAUCUAUACAAAAGUCUAGAGUUUUUUCUAAAGAUAUGACAUUUAUGCUAGGUUUAUUAUAUGUUGGAAAAACUAUUGGAGAACGAAAAGGUUAUGGCACUGGAAGAAAGACAACUGCAGCGAUGCCCUGGAAUAGGCUGGCAGGGGCUGGAAAGAGUGCAUAGGGAGAGACUGUGGCUUAGAUCUGCACAUGCACAUUCACAUAGAGGUGAGUGGAGAGAAGAGUACAGGCAUGGAUGGGGAUAAUUGGGAGUUUUUGUUAGUACAUUGUCUUCACUGAGGUUCCUGGAAACUGACUUGAGACAAUUAUGUUGGUGAAGUGAACUCUGGAGAUCAACAAAGGCUCCAAGGGAAUCUGGAUAAAACAACGACAUGGUCUACUCAAAUAUUAAUAUUGUAUUAAAUAAUAUAAUUAAAAAUAAGUGAAUAAAGUUUUUUCAUUUAUAGUAUUUUAUUGUAUAACUAAACCAUGCAUCUAUACUGCUCAUAAUGAAUAAAAUGGCAUUAUUUCAAUUUUUUUGAAACAAUAAAUAUAAGAAUAAAUAUUUUCUUGCAUCCAUGUAGAGAAAAAUUUUUAGGGUUUGUUCUUAGAAAUGGAGUUGCUAGUCAUGAGAUGUAUUGUUCUGUUUCAAGGGCGUGUUUUGUGCCUCCCGUGUCUGACCCUUCGUCCUGUUUUUGAGGUGUUCUCAUGAGUAAGACAGUCAGUGACCCAGCUCACCUCCCACGAGAAGAAGCUGCACAUGCAGAACACCUCCUUUGCCAGCCCUUUGGGCCACUGGAGAACACAGCCACAGUCACAGACACUUGGCCAAGCAGAUACAACCCUCAUUGUCCCCACACAGGAUUCUGAAGCUGAAACCAGGACACAAAGGAGCUGUGUCUGCCAGUGAGGGAGGUGGCUCCUCAGUCUGGUUUGUCAGCAGAAACUCUUGGCUCCUAUUUUUACAGGGCUGCUGCCCAGCCUUUGUGGAGACUCUGGAAUCUUCUUCAUACUGUUAAAGCUCCUUUCCAGUUUGAAUGACCCAGAGUUAGUUUGCACGGCUUGUGGCUGACUACCUUGACUGAGCUCAGUCUGCUAUAACAAAACACCACAUCGGGUGGCUUAAAAAACAGAUAAUUUUUUCUUACAGCUCUGGAGGCUAGAAGUCCAAGAUCAGGGUGCCUAUGUGGUAGGUUAUAGUUAGGGUCUUCUUCUCAAUGUGUGUUCUCAUGGCUUUUCCUUCCCCUUCCUAUGAGUGUGCAUAUGGUGGGGUGGGAGUGGGGUGUCCUUAUGUUUGGAGACACAGAUUCAUACACGAAUUUGAGGUCAUUAACAUUCAGACCACAGCACUAUCUUACUUUCCUCAACAAUAACAAUUUACACCUCUACCACAAUCUACAUACAAUAGUUAUUUCUCUAAGUCCUUGCUGUUUUCAGACUAUACGUGUAUGUUCAUUUUAUUGUUUUAUUAUUACAAAAGUGAUUGAAAAAUGGGCCUUUCUUUGCUCAUUUUCACCACAAAAUGUUUAAAUAAAAACAAACUUAUUAUGUUAAAUGUCUUUGCCAUCAUGACAGGAUAAGUGAAUUAAGAGAAAGUAUUUUGAGGGGAAUUAAUAGCAAUGUUACUAUAAUAAAUGUUUUCCAUGGAAACAUUCACCAUAUUCUUUGAUCAUCUCUUGCUGAUCAACUGUUUACUACAAUGUUUUGGCAAAUAAAAACAUUUUGGUGUGUCUUCCUGUACUUCACACUGGAUCUGACACAGACUUUUGUAGCUAUUGAGGUGUCACGUUUGAAUUACUUUUUAACAUCAUUUGCUUAUUUUUACAGUUGCUUUUCUUACUGAUUUAUGCUAAUUGAGUAAAUGACAUGAGAUUUUAGGAGUUCAUAGAAAUAUUAACCUCAUUUUAAUACAUUAGUAAAAAAUAUCACCCAUAUUUAAUUUUUAGGAAUAAAAUGAACAGUUACAAAACCCUCCACAUAAAUAGCGCUGUUUAAAAAGUUUCAUCCUGAGAGAAACAAAGGUCCUCAGGGCUGACAGUCAUCCUUCCUCGUCACUGCUGCUCCAGGCAUCUUCAAAGGCUGGAUUUAACUGGGACUUGGUUUUAGUCUAAAAAGAAAAAAAAAAAAAAAAAAAAAAGGAAGUUCUUAUUUUUCUGCUUUACAACUUCAGGCUCAUAAUAUAUUUAUGAAAUAUGCCAGAUGAACAACAAUUUGAAUAUUGUAAGUAACACCCCCAAUAUAUAUGUAAGGCAAUGUAACUUCAUUUGAAAUAGCUAUAUCAGACUGUAUCCAAGUAACUUGUGUUUGCUUUAAAGUGUUCAGCUCACAAAUGCAUACAUGUGAUGCUGCUGUUGCUCAGGGUGUUACUAUAACAUUCUAGAAUUAGCUGGAGAAGGUAGAACGUUGACAUCCAUGGAGUUAAGACUGGCUCCACGUCUAGAGUCUCACUGGGCACCUUUAACCAUUUAACUUAAUGCUGGAAACUUUUCAUUGCUGGGUCAAUUGAACUUGUAUAACUAAACAAAUACUGAUACGUGAGAAAUAAGUGCUCAUUAAGCUGAGUAACGCCAUUUCUAAUGCAACAAAGUAAAGGGAUUGAUUAUUAAAGCAUGAACUUUUUGCUUAUUAUUAUGUAGUUGGCAAAGUACUCCAGAAACACAUGCAAAACAUAUCAGAAAUGGUAACAAGAUUAUAAUCGGCACAUAGGUUUCCCUGGGAAAUUUCUCUGAAGGACAAUACGUAUGAGACAGUGUUUAUUUAUACAUGUCUUUUUUUGUCUUUUUCCUUUUUAUUGGUAACAGGAAUUGAACUCAGACUGCCUGCUUGCAAGGCAGGUGCUUAUGCCACUGAGCUAAAUCCCCAGCCCCUGAGAUAGUGUUUAUUUAAAACAAGAAAUAUCACAGUAUACAAUAUUACAACAUUAUAGAAGUUAUGAGCAAUUCCUCUAUAGCAGAUUAAUUAACUAUGAAUUAUCAAAUCAAUUCACUUGUUUGGGAAACCUGAAUGGCUACCCUCUUAUUCUCUGCCCAGGACUAAACAGUUUUAAACAUGGUGGCACUAUUUGAAAGUAUCUGGGCAUAUGAGUAAAGUUUGCUUCCUAGUUUGCAGCUUAUGCAUUCACCAAUUUAUUCAGAUCCAAAUUCCAAUAAUUUAUCAGUACCAAAACUAUUCUUAAAUUAUCUUCGAUGCAUUUCCUUUUAUAACUUACAGAAAUAUCUUAUGUUAAGGGGAACCCCUACUUUAGUGUAUCUGAGCAUGUUCAUUUUCCUGUUGAUGAACAUGAAGACUCAGAAUCUUCUAAUUCAAACAAUGAAAACAGUAGAAAAAGCCAGUAUGCCCAGUAAAUUUCCUGAGUAUCAACUAGGAAAGAUAGAAAACAAAAUAUUAAUGUAGUUAUUCUUUAGGGAUGUUAAAUAGAGUACAUUACUGAGCCUAAUGCUGGCUGACAUCAUUUAGGUGUACAACCAGAAUUCCAUUGUAUCUGCUCCCAAAUGUCUAGAUAUGCUCAAACCCCAGGUAGCCACCUACUCAAUACUAGCAGUAGUCUUCUUUUAUGUAAGAAUAGUAUACUCAAGUUGGUUCACUUAUUUUUUUCAUCUGAAUAUAUUCUGAAUUUCCUUUCUUUUUGGAUAAACAACUUAACUACUAAGUUAGGUUAUUCAGUGAGAAUUUCCUCAGCAAUGUAUUGUACAGGGCAUUAGGGGACUCUUCUUCCCCACUGUCUUUAGAGACUUUUAAUGUUCAUACACAAAUUACUAUGGGACACACCCUGAAAAGUUUAACCACCUCCUACUACUUUGGAUUUCUCUCUGUCUCUUCCUUGCAGAAAGCCAAUCUGCACUUGAACGUACUCAUGUCUACCUCACUAGGUCGCUUGUUCUAUGGACAGAGAGUUGAGUACUAUGGGGGAUGAAGAAGCAGGAGUUUAGAGGGGACCUAGUCUAGGUCCAAAUGGAGGAGGGAAACCAAAAUGAAACCUGUCAGGAUAAUCUUGGUAACUUCCAAAUUUCUGAUUGCUCAUUUUUGGAAAGUUUCACAGGUUUCUGUGUCAGCAGGUGAUUAUACAUCUACCAAGUGCCAAGAAAAACAGGCGUAUAUUGCAUGACUAUCAAACUAAAGUACUAUUCCUGAUGAGAAGUCAUAUUUAAACUGCACCCGCCCUGUAAAUCUCAGGCAGGAAAAAAGGGAUGAAAUACAGAUAAGCUGAACUUGAUGAUGACCACUUAGAAAGUGGAAGGGAGGAAAGGCAGAAGUCUCAGGAUAUUAUAAAACAGCCUGAAAAUGAAAUAAUGAAACAUAUGCUCUAUGGCCAUAAAACUUACUCCUACUAUCUAACAUUGUUCACUUUCUCUAGACACGAUUAAAUCCCUCCUCCUCCACUUUGGAUACCGGGAGAAACAUCUCGAACAUCUCUAAGGGAGCAUAUCUCAGUUGAUGGGGAAACUGAAUUUAAAGUGAAACCUACAAACAACUUAGUUUUAACAGUUCUGAUACACUGAAAAUACCAUAAACCUGUCCCAGGAUAGUAUCAGCAGAGCUGGGUAAUAAAUGGUAGAACCAGGAUUCAAACCCAGGUUUACAUACAUGUAUGUGUGUGUUUUGUUUUGUACUGUGUAAUGUUGCUUCCCUGGGAAACUACAGUAGUCAUUUACUCGACAGUUGAAACCAUUUUCGAAUAGGAGUAAAACUGUAAAUAUACACGUAAAAGAAUAGGUACUUGUAUAGACAGAAUUCAUUAUUGGGAUUUCUAUCAUGAUAAUCCGCAUAUUUUGCUUACAUUUAUAAGGAUCUUUCAAACUAUAGUUCUAAGAAAAAUAGAUUUAGCAUGUAGUACUUCAUAUUAAUAUGAGUAUGAUUUCUUUGUUAAAUUACAUGAAUAGUAAAUUUUAAAAGAAAAGGCUAUCGCUCUAAGACUUAAAUAUCAAGCUGAACUUUUUUUGUAUAUCUCUAUUUUACUUUCUAUUUCUUUUGCUUAAUUUCUCCUAUAAAAGUUCUUUCAGAUGGAGAGUUCAAACUAUCAAUAUGAUUACAUAACAAAGAAAUAAACCAUCAAAGUCACAAAUUAUUUUUAUGAAAGGUAAUGUAGUUUUCUCCUAAUAUUCUUUUCUAUAAAUAAGUCACAGAUUUACUUUACAAAAAAUCUUACUAUUUUCAGUUAGUAAAUAAUUGUUAUACUUCUUAACAUGGCCCAUAGUGCUAUGACUUUGAUUUAAUAUAUACAGUAAUUCUCAAAAAGCAGAAUAUGUAAUCAAGAAAUAAAGUAAAAUAAAUAGCUAAGCUAAACUAUUUGACAAUAUUAAACUUUAUACUGAAGAAUACUUAGUCAUCAAAAGCAGUUGUAUGCUAAAACUAAUGAAGCCAUAAUGAACCAAAUUAUACAUGUGAAGAAACCUGGAUAUACUCAUACUGCAUUUGGCCAACUGCCUGAAAAUGUUUUUUUUUUCUCUUUCAUGUGAAUUUGGGUCAAAAGAAAAUAAUUCACAGGCUUUUGACUGUAAUGACCUAUAAUAGUUGCAAGUUAAAGUAUGAAAUAUAUUUUGUUAAACAGCUGCUGGAUACUAUCAAUAGCUACUGCUAGAUACCACUAUCAGAGCAAUUUUGUUUCAUGUGUUUUUUGACAGUGCUAUUCAUAAAGGAACUAAAUAUGCGAAAAAUGUUUUACAACAACAACUUGCUUUAUCAAUAACUUCCUUCCACCUCCAUUUAAGAUGCUUUGUUUAAAAAAAAAAAAAAAAGAUGCUGCCCCGCCACGCUGGGACUUAUGCAGCUGCACAAGAAGACAACUUGCCUGCCCUCUCGGUAAACACCCCGGGCGCCAGCAGGGAGGAGAACCAGUCAGCUGUUCCCGUGAGCCUACUGGCGCGAUGGCUGAGAAUCAAACAUCUCUCCCCACCAUCAGCAAUGGGGACAGAAUUCUGAGCAUCUCUUGGGAGGAUGCCCAUAUGCAAUACAGCAAAUAUGGGGGAUUUCCUUCUAUGUUCUGUUUGAAGGCAAAGGUUAUUUUCACUGUUAUGUUUUAUAAUGAUUGUUUGAUCUAUUCAGUAUUCUCCUUUAAUUGGUUUUACAAUGGUCUGUUAUUGAUUUGAUUUCACUAUACCUAAUUGACUGGACAAGUAUUGUGAAGAUAAUGAGAUAUACUAUAGUAUCCAUUACUACUAUCCCAGUAUCCUGCUUUGAAGUUCUGUACGAAUGUCACUACAUUGUCUUGAUUGGCUUUGUUCUGUCUUGUUCUGUGAUAUUUUUAUUACAUUCAAAAUAAAAUUUUUUAAAAAAGA